rnacentral:lncRNA from 1 species
AUGCUUCUAGCGCCUUCCAUAUUUCCUUUUAUAAUUUUUUUUCCUGGAAGCAAAAUUCCCAGGGCGGUGGGGAGAGAAGAGAUGGGGCCCGAAAGGAGCUGUGGGCUUGUGCUCACGUGGGAAGUGUACCCGUUGCCUGAUACGUCCAUCGUAGGCUGACUCGGAUGGGUCCCGCCAUUUAACUAGCUACCAGUAUACUUUAUCGUGGGCGCAUCCUUCCAACUUUUUAUCCACGUACCACAGAAAAACCAUUUUAUUUUUAAUUUUUAAUCAUUGUAUAGUACUACUCGUACAACGAUCGGUUGGUCGUUG